CCAUUAAAUCAUGCAUAUUUUUAAUUACCCAAGUAGAUGCAGCAAAAGGUCAUAAUCCAAUGUCCAUGCCCCCAUGUAGCAUUAAAGCUUGAAGCAGGAAUCCAACUAGCUUGUUCAGAAGAGGCGAGAUGAGCUGCAAAAAGCCGGUGCCGUUCUCACACUGGAAUGAAUGGCCAGAACAGACAAGAGUUCUAACAGCACCAGGCAGAUCACAAACGCUGCAUCUGUCCUUACGGCAAACCUCACAGAAUCCCUGUCGUACUGUCUAGAGGGCUGCACAGCUGCAGUGAUGUGAACAACGGUGGGAGAAAGUAAGGAACGAGAUACUCUUGCCUGUGUAUCUCAUUGCGGAUCAGAGCUUGAGCAAAUGGAACAGAACAUCAAGUAAAUGUAGUCAGAUUUCUGACUCCAGCUCUCUACAGUGGGUCAAUCUGCUCCGCACUGAAGAUUAAGUGUAAAAUGAUGCUGCAAAUGAUGCUGCAAAAAAACCCCUCUGAUGUGAUCCUAGGGAGAGGGGACUCAGGCAGCAUCCACACACAGACAUGCUUAAGAGAGUACCUGCAUCACUGAAAUAAAACUUAAUAGGGGAGGGGACUGAUGAGAGGAUGAAAACAAAGCCGCGUGCCUGCACCAUUCCGCUCUCGAAAAUGCUGUGAAUAAUGCAGAGGUUUGCCAGCCAUGAUUAAUUCUUCUGCUGCAGCCUUUGCUAUGUGGCUUUUUUUUAAAAAAAAAAAUGUACUUGAGAGCCUGAUCAUUCUUUCUGGAUGCAUUUGACAACAAGAGCAAUCCGUUAUGUGGCUCAGAAUGCUCCAGCCAAUACCUCCAGGUCCUUGGUGGCUAUCCUUUAGAGGUAUUUCUGUGAUAUUAGCUGGCUCCUUCCUCGGUUUAUGCAGAAGAUUUCCAGUUGCUAUUUUAGCACACUGUGGUCUAUUCUUGCAUUUAUAUAUGAAAAAUUUAUGCGUUUCGUUCUACCUGUUUUUUUAAAAAAUGCACGCCUUCUCUUAGUGCCUUCCUGAAUGAACCCCAAAGGAACGGGUUUUAGCAAGACCGUAAUUAAUGCUGUUUUUAUGGGUGAUGCAGACAGACCAGCAAAUGAAGUCAUGUGAUGCUGAAAAACUCAAGGCAAUGAACACAUGAAGUCGCAAGUCUGAGUAGCCAAUAUUGUCUUUGGUGGAGCCACUGAUUCAGUAUAAAGCAGCUUUAUGUAACUAUUCUCCAGCUGUUUCUAGAAGGCCCAAAGGGGGGGGGGGCAUGGCAGACAUCCUGGGUUAAUGAGUUCCAUAAAAUGGCAGCCACUAUUGGAUAAUACCCUCUUCUGCAAGCCAGGAAGGCUUCCUUCACAGGGGGGGGGGGGCACAGAAUUUGGCACCAGGUGAUCUCAAAUCAUGGCAUGCUCAUCAGGGGGGAGGCAGCCUUAACUUACCAUGGCCCCAAAUUUUAAAAGUUAUCUAACAGUAUCUUCAAUUACCCCAAAGCUGGGUAACCUAAUUUGCAUACUGUAGGAAUUCUUGGUAACUUGUGUGAAUUCAGCAUACAAAUUAUUGUGUUUUUUACUUGUUUUGCAUUUCUCCCUAUCACAAAAGAAGUUGGAAAAGGAUCACAGAAAAUAUUCUGUUACCUGACUUUCUGUUAAUGCCAAAAUUUGCUCAGCCUCUCUUCUGAAAUAACAGCAAAGCUUGUCUAGCAAAGGGUAGGAUGAAGUCAAAGAUCUGUGCCUUUUUGCGGUUUUGUUUCUCCAGCGGUAGCUGGCUCUGCAUCUGUUCAACUAAAGUGUAAGUACACAUUCCUGUAUAAGAAGUUCGUGGUUUUCUCCCAGGUCUUGAACUCUUGACAAUCAAGAUACUGAACACACCAUCUUGAGCUUAUAGACUUAGCAGAAAUGGCUAGUUCUCAUAAUUGGCGGAAAUGAUCGGCAUGCCCAUCUCCUAGAGACUCAUUAAUAUGAUCUUCAGUCUAUGUGGAGGCCUUACUCUGAAGUUAAUCCUAUCAUUUUCAUUAGGACUAACGUCCAAACAAGUGUGUGUAACCUUAAACAAUUUGGAUAUCUCUCAACAACACCCAGUAACCCU